GGGCCCGUAGCUCAGCGGUUAGAGCCGCGCACUCAUAAUGCGUUGGUCGCUGGUUCGAAUCCAGCCGGGCCCA
rnacentral:tRNA from 1 species